ACGGGAGGCAGCAGUGAGGAAUAUUGGUCAAUGGUCGGAAGACUGAACCAGCCAAGUCGCGUGCAGGAAGACGGUCCUAUGGAUUGUAAACUGCUUUUGUACGGGAAUAAAGUUCAGGACGUGUCCUGUUUGGAAUGUACCGUAAGAAUAAGGGUCGGCUAACUCCGUGCCAGCAGCCGCGGUAAUACGGAGGACCCGAGCGUUAUCCGGAUUUAAUGGGUUUAAAGGGUGCGUAGGCGGCCCCUUAAGUCGGCGGUGAAAUUUUCAUGCUCAACAUGAAAACUGCCAUUGAUACUGGUCCCCUUGAGAGAUGUCGAGGAUGGCGGGAUGUGAUGUGUAGCGGUGAAAUGCUUAGAUAUGUCACAGAACACCGAUUGCGAAGGCAGCUGUCCAGAGAUCUUCUGACGCUCAGGCACGAAAGCAUGGGUAUCAAACAGGAUUAGAUACCCUGGUA
rnacentral:rRNA from 1 species